UGUGAAACCCCCCGGCUCACCCGGGGAGGGUCUUUGGAAACUGGGGAACUUGAGUGCAGAAGAGGAGAGCGGAAUUCCACGUGUAGCGGUGAAAUGCGUAGAGAUGUGGAGGAACACCAGUGGCGAAGGCGGCUCUCUGGUCUGUAACUGACGCUGAGGCGCGAAAGCGUGGGGAGCGAACAGGAUUAGAUACCCUGGUAGUCCACGCCGUAAACGAUGAGUGCUAAUUGUUAGAGGGUCUCCGCCUUUUAGUGCUGCAUCAAACGUGUUAAGCACUCCGCGUGGAGAGCACGGUCGCAAUACUGAAUCUCAGAGGAUUUGACGGGGACCCGCACAAGCGGUGGAACAUGUAUUUUAAUUCGAAGCCACGCGAAGAACCUUACCCGGUCUUGACGUCCUGUGCUACUUCUAGAGAUGGAAGGUUCCCUUCGGGGACAGAGUGACAGGUGGUGCAUGGUUGUCGUCAGCUCGUGUCGUGAGAUGUUGGGUUAAGUCCCGCAACGAGCGCAACCCUUGAUCUUAGUUGCUACCAUUCAGUUGGGCACU
rnacentral:rRNA from 2 species